rnacentral:siRNA from 1 species
GGCGGGAUCCCUCGCGGGUGCA